CGUGGGCAACCUGCCCCUCACACUGGGAUAACUUCGGGAAACCGAAGCUAAUACCGGAUAUUCGCCUCUGCAGGCAUCUGCGGAGGCGGAAAGGAUUCUGGUGAGGGAUGGGCCCGCGGCCUAUCAGCUAGUUGGUGAGGUAACGGCUCACCAAGGCGACGACGGGUAGCCGGCCUGAGAGGGCGACCGGCCACACUGGGACUGAGACACGGCCCAGACUCCUACGGGAGGCAGCAGUGGGGAAUAUUGCGCAAUGGGCGAAAGCCUGACGCAGCAACGCCGCGUGCGGGAUGACGGCCUUCGGGUUGUAAACCGCUUUCAGCAGGGAAGAAGCCGCAAGGUGACGGUACCUGCAGAAGAAGCACCGGCUAACUACGUGCCAGCAGCCGCGGUAAUACGUAGGGUGCAAGCGUUGUCCGGAUUUAUUGGGCGUAAAGAGCUCGUAGGCGGUAUGUCACGUCGGAUGUGAAAAUCCAAGGCUCAACCUUGGACCUGCAUCCGAUACGGGCACACUAGAGUGUGGUAGGGGAG
rnacentral:rRNA from 1 species